rfam:Candidate division WS6 bacterium RIFOXYB1_FTLL_33_14 rifoxyb1_full_scaffold_13317, whole genome shotgun sequence.
GGAGAGAUGACUGAGUGGUCGAAAGUGACGGUCUUGAAAACCGUUGUACGGGUUUCCGUACCGUGGGUUCGAAUCCCACUCUCUCCG